rnacentral:rRNA from 1 species
AACGAACGCUGGCGGCAGGCCUAACACAUGCAAGUCGAACGAGAAGCCACCUUCGGGUGGUGGACAGUGGCAGACGGGUGAGUAACGCUUGGGAACGUGCCUUUCGGUUCGGGAUAACCCAGGGAAACUUGGGCUAAUACCGGAUACGCCCUUCGGGGGAAAGAUUCAUUGCCGAAAGAUCGGCCCGCGUCGGAUUAGCCAGUUGGUAGGGUAAUGGCCUACCAAGGCGACGAUCCGUAGCUGGUCUGAGAGGAUGACCAGCCACACUGGGACUGAGACACGGCCCAGACUCCUACGGGAGGCAGCAGUGGGGAAUAUUGGACAAUGGGCGAAAGCCUGAUCCAGCCAUGCCGCGUGGGUGAAGAAGGCCUUAGGGUUGUAAACCCCUUUCAGCGGGGAAGAUAAUGACGGUACCCGCAGAAGAAGUCCCGGCUAACUCCGUGCCAGCAGCCGCGGUAA